rnacentral:rRNA from 1 species
ACAUGCGCAAAUACUAUAUCGUUCCCUCUCUUUAUGGGAGGGUGGUGAUAUAGUAGUGUUUAUUAGAUACAGAACCAACACAUCAUUAUUAUCAUUCUAUGAUGAUAGUGAUGUAAAAUAAGGUGAUUCAUAGUAACCGAACGGAUCGCAUUAUAAUUAUCAUUAUUUGAUGAUUGGCGAUAGAUCAUUCAAGUUUCUGACCUAUCAGCUUUCGACGGUAGUGUAUUGGACUACCGUGGCAGUGACGGGUAACGGGGAAUUAGGGUUCGAUUCCGGAGAGGGAGCCUGAGAAACGGCUACCACAUCUAAGGAAGGCAGCAGGCGCGCAAAUUACCCAAUCCUGACUCAGGGAGGUAGUGACAAGAAAUAACAACACUGGAAAUUUGAUUUCUAGUGAUUGGAAUGAUGGGAAUCCAAACCCCUUUCAGAGUAACAAUUGGAGGGCAAGUCUGGUGCCAGCAGCCGCGGUAAUUCCAGCUCCAAUAGCGUAUAUUAAAGUUGUUGCAGUUAAAAAGCUCGUAGUUGGAUGUCUGUUGGAAGCAAUCAUCAUCCGCCCUAUUUGAUUAGGGUGUGAAUAUGAUGAAUUCCGGCAUAAUUGUCUCCCUAUUAUCAAUAUAUAAGAUGAUCAUUAUUAGAUUCAUUUCUAAUAAUGCGUCUACUAUAUUAUUGGUAGUAUGGGAGAAAUGUUACUUUGAGAAAAUUAGAGUGUUUGAAGCAGGCUUUUGUUGCCUUGAAUACUGCAGCAUGGAAUAACAAUAUAGGAUUUCGGUUCUAUUUUGUUGGUUUUUUUUAGGACUGAAAUAAUGAUUAAUAGGGACAGUUGGGGGCAUUCGUAUUUAACUGUCAGAGGUGAAAUUCUUAGAUUUGUUA